rnacentral:lncRNA from 1 species
AUGGGGGACUUUUCUUCUCUUCUUUUUCUUUCUUUCUUUCUUCUUCUUUGUAAUGAGCUGCAUCUUAACGUGUUGACCUCCCGAUGGCAGCACCCUGCCGAAGCACUUCCCUUGCCUCAGGGGAUUCUGCUGAAGUUCACGAUCCAGCGCCUGAAGAAGGAGGUUCUUCAUUUGACGAAAAGGUCGAAGAAGAUGGAAGGCGAACUCCGCAGGUUGAGGGAGAGCCACUCUG